AAGCAGCCCUGUGGCACAACAUGCAGGCUGGUGUGACAGGCAGAACUGACUUUUGUCUUUGUUAAACUUUUGUUGAUACUUUAUCUUAUACAACACACAGUAAAUAUUCUUUUCCAUCCAAGAAAGUCAGGGACCCAUGGGCGGUGUGACAUUCCUCUACAUUUACAUCAUAUGGCUGAUCACUUCUGUUGAUGCUCAGGUCAUAUCUGCCCGAGUGGGUUCCACAGCUGUCCUGCCCUGUGAACUGAGUAACACAUCCAAGCCGACAGUGUAUAUUCAAUGGCGCACUGAUUUUGCUGUUGUGUUUGAAAGAACGAGAAGGAAUUUAUACCAGGGUGAAAGAUAUACAGGCCGUGUGUACGUUCCUGAGAAGCAGCUGCUGAAAGGGAACUGUUCUCUGGUGCUGAAGAACGUGUGGUUUGAUGAUGCUGGAGUUUACUACAGCUACCUGUUCGUGAAACGCAGAAAGAGAUCUGUCACUCAUUUCAUCCAGAGAGUCGAACUCGAAGUUU